GGCGAACGGGUGAGUAAUACAUCUGAACGCGCCCAGUCGUGGGGGAAAACGUCCCCGAAGCUACGCUUAUACCUCCUACAAACUCUGGUUGAAAGUCGGGGAUCGCUUAACCUCACGCGAUUGGAGCGUCCGAUGGCUUAUUAUGUACUUGGUGGGGUAAAGGCCUACCACCACGACGAUCUGUAGCUGGUCUGAUAGGACGACCAGCCACCCUGGGACUGAUGACAUACCCAGACUCCUACCUACAGGCAGGCAUGGGGAAUUUUGGACAAUGGUGCAAGACAGAUCCAACCAUUCCUGCCGCGUGAUGAAAGACCUCCUUUUGGAAACUGCUUUUGUUCUGAACGGAAAGGCUCUGGUUAAUACCUGGGGCUCAUGACGGUACCGUAAAAAUAACCACCGGCUAACUACGUGCCCACCCCCGCUAAAAUACGUAUGGUGCAAGCGUUAAUCAUAAUUACUGUUUAAAAAAGCGUGCGCAGGGUCUGAUGUAAGACAGAUGUGAAAUCCCCCGGGCUCAACCUGGGAACUGCAUUUGUGACUGCGACUUUGGAAUGUUGAGAGGGGGAUGGAAUUCCGCGUGUAGCAGAGAUGUGCAUAUAUAUGCGGAGGAACACCGAUGGCGACAGCUUCCCCUGCUCCUGCACUGACUGCUCAUGCACGAGUGCGUGGAGAGCACACGAGAUUAUAUACUGUGGUCC
rnacentral:rRNA from 1 species